rnacentral:rRNA from 1 species
CCUACGGGAGGCAGCAGUGAGGAAUAUUGGUCAAUGGACGAGAGUCUGAACCAGCCAAGUAGCGUGAAGGAUGACUGCCCUAUGGGUUGUAAACUUCUUUUAUAAAGGAAUAAAACGAGGCACGUGUGCCUUUUUGCCUGUACUUUAUGAAUAAGGAUCGGCUAACUCCGUGCCAGCAGCCGCGGUAAUACGGAGGAUCCGAGCGUUAUCCGGAUUUAUUGGGUUUAAAGGGAGCGUAGAUGGGUUGUUAAGUUAGUUGUGAAAGUUUGCGGCUCAACCGUAAAAUGGCAAUUGAUACUGGCAGUCUUGAGUGCAGUUGAGGUAGGCGGAAUUCGAGGUGUAGCGGUGAAAUGCUUAGAUA